AUGUAUGCGUUAGUGAUUGAGUGGCUUGUUUGAGCUCUUCCAAUUUUUUAAUUGGAAAGCGAGUAACGAAAGCACGCUCGAAC
rnacentral:sRNA from 1 species